CAAAGGAAUUGACGGGCCCCGCACAAGCAGCGGAGCGUGUGGUUUAAUUCGAUGCUACACGAAGAACCUUACCAGGGUUUGACAUACAAGUAGUAGGGAAAGGAAACUGGACCGACCCUUCGGGAGCUUGUACAGGUGCUGCAUGGCUGUCGUCAGCUCGUGUCGUGAGAUGUUCGGUUAAGUCCGCUAACGAGCGCAACCCUCGCUGUGUGUUACAAGUGUCACACGGAACUGCCGGUCAUAAACCGGAGGAAGGUGGGGAUGACGUCAAGUCAGCAUGGCCUUUAUAUCCUGGGCUACACACACGCUACAAUGGGAAGGGACAAUAGGUUGCGAAGCCGCGAGGCGGAGCCAAUCCACAAAGCCGGUCUCAGUUCAGAUUGCAGGCUGCAACCCGCCUGCAUGAAGAUGGAGUUGCUAGUAACCGCAGGUCAGCUAUACUGCGGUGAAUACGUUCCCGGGUCUU
rnacentral:rRNA from 1 species